rnacentral:rRNA from 5 species
UGGUGGGUAGUUUGACUGGGGCGGUCUCCUCCUAAAGAGUAACGGAGGAGCACGAAGGUUGGCUAAUCCUGGUCGGACAUCAGGAGGUUAGUGCAAUGGCAUAAGCCAGCUUGACUGCGAGCGUGACGGCGCGAGCAGGUGCGAAAGCAGGUCAUAGUGAUCCGGUGGUUCUGAAUGGAAGGGCCAUCGCUCAACGGAUAAAAGGUACUCCGGGGAUAACAGGCUGAUACCGCCCAAGAGUUCAUAUCGACGGCGGUGUUUGGCACCUCGAUGUCGGCUCAUCACAUCCUGGGGCUGAAGUAGGUCCCAAGGGUAUGGCUGUUCGCCAUUUAAAGUGGUACGCGAGCUGGGUUUAGAACGUCGUGAGACAGUUCGGUCCCUAUCUGCCGUGGGCGCUGGAGAACUGAGGGGGGCUGCUCCUAGUACGAGAGGACCGGAGUGGACGCAUCACUGGUGUUCGGGUUGUCAUGCCAAUGGCACUGCCCGGUAGCUAAAUGCGGAAGAGAUAAGUGCUGAAAGCAUCUAAGCACGAAACUUGCCCCGAGAUGAGUUCUCCCUGAGACUUUAGGUCUCCUGAAGGAACGUUGAAGACGACGACGUUGAUAGGCCGGGUGUGUAAGCGCAGCGAUGCGUUGAGCUAACCGGUACUAAUGAACCGUGAGGCUUAACCUUACAAC